UUUUUAUUAUCAUUGUUGUUAUAAGAAGAGUGAAAGCCAGCCGGUAUUAUCGCGACUGGUAGGAAGUGUCCCGCCAGUAAUAACCGGCCAUGAACUCAGCCCCCCUAAGCCAUUGCUGACGACGACGACGCCAGCAAGAACAAUCGCUCCGCAAAACGCCGAUAGUGGAAUAACGAUUCUUUCUACAGCAGAACGCCAACCGAAACAAAGAUAGAUCUUGAUCGUGUUUCUCAGCUGGCAACAGUCGCGAUGGAACGCGACAAGCCACAUCGCUGUCGUAAUAACAAUUAUAUCACUGCCACCCUACUUCCAUUACUGUUAUCCCAGCAGUGAAAGUUAACUUUUGGCUAUUUUUUAUUUAGCUUUAAUCAGAGGUAGGAAAUCGGCAGCAUUCGAAGCAGAGGCAAAAACACCGUCAUCAAUUUAGAAAUUAAUGGCUGUUACCUGCUUUGAACGAGGAAUACAUUAUCAGCGGAAUACACUACGCGAGUGACAUCUAUGUGUAUGCGCGUGAGUUGCUUUGGAACCCGUCUCUCAUUGAGGGAACGAUGGAAAUUGAAAAUGCCAACGAUCGAUUUACAAGCUCUCACAAGCCUUAAAUGAAUCCGUUUAUAUCGGUUGGACUGAAUGGUGCAGGAACAUUCUCGAAAACUAUGAACUUGUGUUGUAGUAAUCUGUUUAUAGUUCGUUUGGCGACUAAUUAUGAAAGCAGUAUCGAGAGGCAACGGCGAAGCAGGCAAACACGAAUUGCAAUGGGACAUUAUAAUUAAGCAAUCUCUUUUUCUGCUGAUAACAGUACCGCCCUGAGGCCUAUUGUCUUGUCGGUCCCAACUGCACGGUGGGGGCAUUGUGCCACUGUAGAUUAAAGAGAUCUGGUAAUAAACACACGAGGUGUGGUACUGGCGCGAAAUGAGCAAGCAACAAACCUUGCUAUCACAAAAGCGAUUAGACUAUUGUUUAGGACAGGAUUUAAUCAUCACAGUUUUUUGCGCUUUAUCAGCGGCCAAAAUCAUUUAGGUUGCAGAUAACUACCUUUGGCUACAAACAAAAUCACCUUCUGACUUUUUAUAAUUGUUUCAUGUGAAGCAAUACGUAUCAAUGCGAUGCGAAACAUCGGGAAGUUAGCACGUAAUUUCAGACAAACAGGGAAACAUUUGGCAUUUAAUCGAUAGCAUUCUGGAUUCAGCCGGUCACUUAUGAUUAAUGUAGUAUGACGAAGGCGACUGAUUAAAAGCUUCUUUCUUCUGCAGAGUUGUUACUGUGGCUCGUUAUCGCUGUUCGCUUCAUACGUGGCUUCUUGACUUCCUUCAGUCCUCAACCUCAUCUGCAGCGACUUCAACAUACGUGCUCAGUAGCAGCAAGGCUGCAUUUUUAGCUGUCGCACGGUAUCGCGUGCUACCGUUAGUUUUUCUUUUCGUAGUUUUACUUUCACUUGGUAUCUUCAACGGCAUUUCAAAUGGUAUUCAACGGUUUUUCAUUCGACCACUGAUCACCUGCUCGUCUCGCGGCUGUGUUCUAAUCCCUCUCUGGUGUGAUAAUUCGGAGCUUUCUCUUCGAGCUCUUUCCUAGACAGAUAGAAGUCUAUGCUUUUUUCUUCGGCUAGCACACUGCAUUAAGCAGAAGGCAGAAACUGCGACGAUUCUAACUAACCCGCGCCCUGAACGACAACAGAAAGAUCACGCUUCCCUAACCUCAUCGCUGCCGUUCUCUCGUACAUACGCUGUCGCUGAACGUACAAAUGACCUAGAGGUCAUCGUGUUUUACUAUGGUAUUGUCUCCUCUUUGUUCUCGAUCAGCUGCCGGCCGCAGGCCCCUAAGGCCACGUAAACAACUUUACCGGCAAUAAGAACAAACAGUAGCGAUUCACAAACGCUUGUACUAACAGUGCUGCCAACAGUGACGAGGUGUGAUUUUAUUUAUUUUACUUUGACUGCGAUCAAUGCCACUCAAAAAUACGGAAGGGAAGCAUUGGUCGACGCUAGAUCGGCAGGCAGGACCUACUGUACACGCUCAGAUUACACGACAACAACAGCAGCAGACGCCCCGCUGGAACAACAAAAGCCAACUUUAUCGGACCAUGGAUUGAACGCUAAGAAUUUUACUGCUCUAUCUGUCAUACAACGCCAGCAGCAACACUUGCCAGGCAUACGACGUCACCAUUUUCCCUGUACUAUUCUUGGGACGUUCGACGACCAAAUCUCAACAACGUAUGUGUGCGCAUAUAUAGGAAUUGGAGAACACGUAUAGGGGCAACAUGAUGUUAUAUGGCGAUGUGCAAGUGAAAAUUUCGGUUUAUCGACCGCUCGACGCCGCCAUCAAUGGAUAGAACCAAACUGUCAUCCGGCGUGUUCAUUUACGAUCUUUACCGAAAAAAGAUAGGAGUUGUAUUUUGCUUCGUGGCGAAAUUAUAGUCAACACGGACUGAAAUAAAUUCUCGCCUCCAAUUGACGUCGAUUAUUUCAUCGCCGAUGACCCGUGCAGUCUAGCGUAGAUACGACCGCUGAUAGCACCGGUAACAACGAUGCUGUCUAGCUUUCCGACGCUUCAGACGAGCGGUUUCAACUUAACUAUUCAGCUUUCAGGCUCAGCCUCGGUGUUACGUCACACCAUCCGACGAAAAUGUCUCUAACAGCAGGAAACAGAAGGAGAAGUUUCUAAUAGAAAAACAGCAGGAAAGCUUACGAUCAGCAUUCAACGACAGUCGAAGCAAUACCAGCAACGAGUGGCUAAAAGCACUCGGCGUACGAAAAAAGGCAAACCCCAUGAAAGCGGUGGCAACAUGCAAGACCGACAAUUGCUGGACGAAAUCAUGCAGACUCGUUUUACUGCGUCUGUUCAUGCAGAUGCUACCUAUAAAUUUCAAGAGGCUUAUCGUUCUUUCUUCGUCUUAACUGUUCUAAUCUAUGCAGCUUUAUUGUCGCUGAAUGAACUUUAAGGAAUGCUGUGGCUACCUGACGAUUUUGCGCCAUCAUGUGACAGCAGCACGCCAGCAGGACGGUUACAGCCUCUUGAAGUACCCUAGGACAAAGAAACCUAAAAAUUUUGCAGCGGCCGUUGGCCAUUGAUAAACGUUUGUUGUUUGAUUGAUAUGACAUUAACAUGUAGAGCGUGCAUUUAGGUUCCACUGCAGCUCUACUUUAAUCUAAAUUAUAAUAAAACAUUGAGU